AUGUGCUUGGAGGCCCAGCACCGGCUGGCGUUCGAGAGGAGGCACGGCAGCGAUACGUUCCCGUAUUACAUCCCUGAUUCCACGGCCACGGACUUGGUGAAGAGAUGCAAAGCUGCCCGCGUCUGGAACCGCAAGGACGGCGCCACCAUUGACAACGUGCUGAAGCAAAUCCAGCGGGCCGGCGGGGCGGAGGCUUGGCCAGACCAGGACGGCUGGGGGCGGCGGUGCAACCUCCAGGUAAAGUCAUGGGAAACCUGGUCGUUCAAGCGGCUGCCCUCGGCCUCCAGCCUCGCGCGUAUGAUCCGCACUGAGGGGCCACUCAUCGGUGGUUUGGUCGUCGGAGAGGAUUACUACGCGGAUGGCUGGGAGAAGCGAGUAUACAGGGGAGGCUCGGGAAAGAAGGCAGGGCCUCACGGCGUGGUCUGCACGGGAUACCGGUACGAGCAGGGCGAGGAGAAGAUACAGGUGGUGGAGAACCACGAUUGGGAUGGGCCAGCCCGGUGGAUUUACAGGACGGCCUUCACGGACUUUACCCAGAUCAAGGUUGAGCCGCUGGACGCCUCCCCUCUCUUUAUCGGGAAGGAGGUGAGCUGGUGGCGCCGCCUUGAGCGCAGGCUUUGGAGGGAAGAGACGUGCUGGUGGCUCCGCCGCCAUGGUAUUAGCGAGCAAUGGAACAAGACCAUGGCUCUUGACAUGAAGCACUAG
rnacentral:rRNA from 1 species